rnacentral:rRNA from 1 species
GGUUAAGCGACUAAGCGUACACGGUGGAUGCCCUGGCAGUCAGAGGCGAUGAAGGACGUGCUAAUCUGCGAUAAGCGUCGGUAAGGUGAUAUGAACCGUUAUAACCGGCGAUUUCCGAAUGGGGAAACCCAGUGUGUUUCGACACACUAUCAUUAACUGAAUCCAUAGGUUAAUGAGGCGAACCGGGGGAACUGAAACAUCUAAGUACCCCGAGGAAAAGAAAUCAACCGAGAUUCCCCCAGUAGCGGCGAGCGAACGGGGAGGAGCCCAGAGCCUGAAUCAGUGUGUGUGUUAGUGGAAGCGUCUGGAAAGGCGCGCGAUACAGGGUGACAGCCCCGUACACAAAAAUGCACAUGCUGUGAGCUCGAUGAGUAGGGCGGGACACGUGGUAUCCUGUCUGAAUAUGGGGGGACCAUCCUCCAAGGCUAAAUACUCCUGACUGACCGAUAGUGAACCAGUACCGUGAGGGAAAGGCGAAAAGAACCCCGGCGAGGGGAGUGAAAAAGAACCUGAAACCGUGUACGUACAAGCAGUGGGAGCACAGAGCAAUCUGUGUGACUGCGUACCUUUUGUAUAAUGGGUCAGCGACUUAUAUUCUGUAGCAAGGUUAACCGAAUAGGGGAGCCGAAGGGAAACCGAGUCUUAACUGGGCGUUAAGUUGCAGGGUAUAGACCCGAAACCCGGUGAUCUAGCCAUGGGCAGGUUGAAGGUUGGGUAACACUAACUGGAGGACCGAACCGACUAAUGUUGAAAAAUUAGCGGAUGACUUGUGGCUGGGGGUGAAAGGCCAAUCAAACCGGGAGAUAGCUGGUUCUCCCCGAAAGCUAUUUAGGUAGCGCCUCGUGAAUUCAUCUCCGGGGGUAGAGCACUGUUUCGGCAAGGGGGUCAUCCCGACUUACCAACCCGAUGCAAACUGCGAAUACCGGAGAAUGUUAUCACGGGAGACACACGGCGGGUGCUAACGUCCGUCGUGAAGAGGGAAACAACCCAGACCGCCAGCUAAGGUCCCAAAGUCAUGGUUAAGUGGGAAACGAUGUGGGAAGGCCCAGACAGCCAGGAUGUUGGCUUAGAAGCAGCCAUCAUUUAAAGAAAGCGUAAUAGCUCACUGGUCGAGUCGGCCUGCGCGGAAGAUGUAACGGGGCUAAACCAUGCACCGAAGCUGCGGCAGCGACGCUGAUGCGUUGUUGGGUAGGGGAGCGUUCUGUAAGCCUGUGAAGGUGUGCUGUGAGGCAUGCUGGAGGUAUCAGAAGUGCGAAUGCUGACAUAAGUAACGAUAAAGCGGGUGAAAAGCCCGCUCGCCGGAAGACCAAGGGUUCCUGUCCAACGUUAAUCGGGGCAGGGUGAGUCGACCCCUAAGGCGAGGCCGAAAGGCGUAGUCGAUGGGAAACAGGUUAAUAUUCCUGUACUUGGUGUUACUGCGAAGGGGGGACGGAGAAGGCUAUGUUGGCCGGGCGACGGUUGUCCCGGUUUAAGCGUGUAGGCUGGUUUUCCAGGCAAAUCCGGAAAACUAAGGCUGAGGCGUGAUGACGAGGCACUACGGUGCUGAAGCAACAAAUGCCCUGCUUCCAGGAAAAGCCUCUAAGCAUCAGGUAACAUCAAAUCGUACCCCAAACCGACACAGGUGGUCAGGUAGAGAAUACCAAGGCGCUUGAGAGAACUCGGGUGAAGGAACUAGGCAAAAUGGUGCCGUAACUUCGGGAGAAGGCACGCUGAUAUGUAGGUGAAGUCCCUCGCGGAUGGAGCUGAAAUCAGUCGAAGAUACCAGCUGGCUGCAACUGUUUAUUAAAAACACAGCACUGUGCAAACACGAAAGUGGACGUAUACGGUGUGACGCCUGCCCGGUGCCGGAAGGUUAAUUGAUGGGGUCAGCGCAAGCGAAGCUCUUGAUCGAAGCCCCGGUAAACGGCGGCCGUAACUAUAACGGUCCUAAGGUAGCGAAAUUCCUUGUCGGGUAAGUUCCGACCUGCACGAAUGGCGUAAUGAUGGCCAGGCUGUCUCCACCCGAGACUCAGUGAAAUUGAACUCGCUGUGAAGAUGCAGUGUACCCGCGGCAAGACGGAAAGACCCCGUGAACCUUUACUAUAGCUUGACACUGAACAUUGAGCCUUGAUGUGUAGGAUAGGUGGGAGGCUUUGAAGUGUGGACGCCAGUCUGCAUGGAGCCGACCUUGAAAUACCACCCUUUAAUGUUUGAUGUUCUAACGUUGACCCGUAAUCCGGGUUGCGGACAGUGUCUGGUGGGUAGUUUGACUGGGGCGGUCUCCUCCUAAAGAGUAACGGAGGAGCACGAAGGUUGGCUAAUCCUGGUCGGACAUCAGGAGGUUAGUGCAAUGGCAUAAGCCAGCUUGACUGCGAGCGUGACGGCGCGAGCAGGUGCGAAAGCAGGUCAUAGUGAUCCGGUGGUUCUGAAUGGAAGGGCCAUCGCUCAACGGAUAAAAGGUACUCCGGGGAUAACAGGCUGAUACCGCCCAAGAGUUCAUAUCGACGGCGGUGUUUGGCACCUCGAUGUCGGCUCAUCACAUCCUGGGGCUGAAGUAGGUCCCAAGGGUAUGGCUGUUCGCCAUUUAAAGUGGUACGCGAGCUGGGUUUAGAACGUCGUGAGACAGUUCGGUCCCUAUCUGCCGUGGGCGCUGGAGAACUGAGGGGGGCUGCUCCUAGUACGAGAGGACCGGAGUGGACGCAUCACUGGUGUUC